GACGAACGCUGGCGGCGUGCUUAACACAUGCAAGUCGAACGGUGAUCUUGAGAGCUUGCUCUUGGGUGAUCAGUGGCGAACGGGUGAGUAACACGUGAGUAACCUGCCCCUGACUCUGGAAUAACUUCGGGAAACCGAAGCUAAUACCGGAUAUGACACAGAAUCGCAUGGUUUCUGUGUGGAAAGUUUUUCGGUUGGGGAUGGACUCGCGGCCUAUCAGCUUGUUGGUGAGGUAAUGGCUCACCAAGGCGACGACGGGUAGCCGGCCUGAGAGGGCGACCGGCCACACUGGGACUGAGACACGGCCCAGACUCCUACGGGAGGCAGCAGUGGGGAAUAUUGCACAAUGGGCGAAAGCCUGAUGCAGCGACGCCGCGUGAGGGAUGAAGGCCUUCGGGUUGUAAACCUCUUUCAGUAGGGAAGAAGCGCAAGUGACGGUACCUACAGAAGAAGCACCGGCUAACUACGUGCCAGCAGCCGCAGUAAUAC
rnacentral:rRNA from 1 species